rnacentral:lncRNA from 1 species
CGUCUCCAACCUCUUCCGCUGCCUGCGCUCACGGCACUUACCUCCACAGUCGGGAUCGGCGCAGUCAGCUGCUCCGGAGUCAGGCUCCCGAACUCCUCGGCUAGAACAUCCAUUCCAUUCACGGUAGAGGAAGAAGUCGGCAGAAUGUUCACAUCCGCCCGUGCGGCUCCAAGCAAGUAGCACGCGGAGAGUGGUGUGCGUUCUCCUCCGGUGUCCCCGUGGCGCUUGUUUACGGGGAGGCGUUUCAAAAGGUUCCGCCUGGUCAGGGCCUAACCUGCGGAGGAACCCGGAAGUGACCGAGCCGGAUGUGGAAAACUACACCCACUGGUGUACUUCCGAGGUCUCGCCGGGCUAAUCCUAGCCUCUUGACAGGCUCAUUUCCGAAGGAAACGUCAGAGGGACGGAGUUUGUUACCACUACACCGAAUAAACGAAGGAUUGCACAUAAUCCUCCCACGGCAGCACAGACACCUAUAAUCCCAGCAUUUAGAAGCUAGAGGUAGGAGGGCAUCCAGAAAUUCAAGGGCAUCCUUGGCUACCUAACAAGGUCGAGGCCAGCCUGGGCUACAUGAAACCCUGUCUCCAAAGAAAAGGUAAUGUAUUAAUAACAUUGAUUGGUGAAAGAUUUCAAGGAUGGCAACGGAGAAAGCAUAAGAAUUGCUAAAAGUUGUAUUCCAUUAAUUUUUAAAAAAUUAGAUACACCUAUAAAAAAUCUCUAUGAAUAGUAAACACACAGUUGGUAGAAGACAAAAGGAUUUGUCACUGAAAUUGGAAAUGAGUUCAUGCAAGUCCAAUGGUAAGAAAAAUCCCAUGGGAAGAAGAGGUAAAAGAUGCCAACAGUUUUUAAAUGAGUUUCAGUUUGGGAACAUACAAAAAUUGUGGAGAUGGAUGGUGUCACAUGAGUGUGUACAAUGCUCCUGGCCAUUUAAUAGUUGAACUAUUUAAUAGUUCACCUGUAUAAUUAGCACCAUCUAAUAAUAUGUGUUCUUUUUUUUUUUUAAACCUGGUCCAAGGUAAUCUGCGUACAGAGUUAGCUAGUUAAAUUUCAGUGCUUGUAUCUAAACGUUGUGCUGAUAGACUUCUGAAACUAAGUGAAGAAAGAAAGAAAAAAAUUACAGGCCACCAAGAUGGCUCAGUAUGUUAAGUCACCUGCCACAAAGCUUGAAAAGCCGCGUUCAGCCCCCAAGACCCACAUUGUAGAAGGAGAGAAGCAACUCUAAAGAGCUGUCCUCUGAUCCCCAUACUCACAUGUAAGACAAAUCAUUUAAAACUAAGAAUGAUCAGCCCCCCCCCCCCUUAAAUCCUUAAGAUUUACUCAGAGAAACUACAUUUGAAUGGUCCCUGUGAGUUAUUAUACCAGAGAGCACCCUACUUAGUGUAGUCUGGAAGGGGUUGGGAAAGGGAGCUGAAGACUUGAGGACAUCAAGUUUGGCUCAGGUGUGUCAGCUGUCUUCUACAAAGUCAUCUUGGAUUCCCACUAUGAAGAUGGUUCUACUGUAAACCAGAUCACAGACACCUGGAGAACUAAAAAAUCUCAGCUUUCUGAUUGGCAGGCUGGAGCUGGAAAUCUGCAUUUCUAGCAAGAUCUCUGCUGCUGUGACCUAAUACCAUAACCUCUGUACUUGUCUAGUUCUUCAGUCUGUGAAUGCUGGAAUGAAAAUGGCCUUGCAUUCCAGGUUCUAGUGCAUUGUUUGUUCCUUAAUAAGUUUGUGUUGAAUUCAUAAUUUGAAAAUAGAAUUGCAGUAGGUAAUAAUAAGUUUAACAUUGUAUUUCUGUUUUUCACCGAGUUUUUAAAGUUUCUUUUGAAAUGAAGGACACUUUGGAGGAUGCAGUCCCUAAUCUUCAUGGCUACACUUAGUUGACAGUGAUGAUGUUGGCUAUUAGACCACAAUUCCUUGUAAGAUUUCUUGCAUUACACCUGUAUCCCAGAUCAAACCCAUGACUUCUUUUUUAUCUCUAGGAGGCUAGACUUUGGAAGCAAGGUGGGGAAAAAGCCAGGGGUAGUUUUGUGCUUCCUCAGUAUUAUGCUACCAUAUCCUUUUACUGAGGUAUUAAUACAAAAGCCUAAAGCAUAAGGUGUGGGAGCUCCCGGAGGACAAGUGCUGUGCAUCCUGAGCCAUCCUUUAUACAAGGCGAAUGGGUAUGUGUUAGCCAAGUGAAAAGUUAUCCAAUGCCAUGGGGGCAAGAAUGGCUGACUGAGGGACACUGUAAUCUGUAAUGGGAGAGGUGUUUAGGACUCUGGGAAACUGGGAAAAGUGUACAUUAAUUUGAACAUUACUCCUUAACAGGUAUUUGAUUGCUAUCUUUAGGUGGAUUCUCUAAUUAUCCACCCUUGGUGGUAAGUAGAGAUCUUCAUUUGACAAGCUAAGGCAGUGGUUAAGAAAUUUGGCUCACACCUUUAAUCUCAGCACUUAGGAGGCAGAAAGGCAGGUGAGUUUCUAAGUUCAAGGCUAGCCUGACCUACAGAGUAAGUUUGAAGACAGCCAGGGCUACACAAAAAAACCCUGUCU